rnacentral:rRNA from 1 species
CCUACGGGAGGCAGCAGUGAGGAAUAUUGGUCAAUGGGCGGGAGCCUGAACCAGCCAAGUCGCGUGAGGGAAGACGGCCCUAUGGAUUGUAAACCUCUUUAGCCGGGGAGCAAAGCCGGGCACGCGUGCCCUGUGGGAGAGCCCCCGCAGAAUAAGUAUCGGCUAACUCCGUCCCAGCAGCCGCGGUAAUACGGAGGACGCGAGCGUUAUCCGGAUUUAUUGGGUUAAAAGGGUGCGCAGGCGGAAUUUCAAGUAAGCGGUAAAAUUUCGGGGCUCAACCCCGUCGUGCCGUUGAAACUGGCGUUCUUGAGUGUGCGAGAAGUAUGCGGAAUGCGUGGUGUAGCGGUGAAAUGCAUAGAUAUCACGCAGAACUCCGAUUGCGAAGGCAGCAUACCGGCGCUCAACUGACGCUCAUGCACGAAAGCGUGGGUAUCGAACAGGAUUAGAUACCCGAGUAGUC